GCCCUGGUGGCUCAUCGGUCUAAAGCACAUGUACCAUAAAGGCUGUGGCCUACGUCUGGCGACCCGGUUCGAUUCCGGCUCAGGUCA